GAUGAACGCUGACAGAAUGCUUAACACAUGCAAGUCAACUUGAACUUCGGUUUGGGUGGCGGACGGGUGAGUCACGCGUAAAGAACUUGCCUCACAGUUAGGGACAACAUUUGGAAACGAAUGCUAAUACCUGAUAUUAUGAUUUUAGGGCAUCCUAGAAUUAUGAAAGCUAUAUGCGCUGUGAGAGAGCUUUGCGUCCCAUUAGCUAGUUGGAGAGGUAACGGCUCACCAAGGCGAGGAUGGGUAGCCGGCCUGAGAGGGUGAACGGCCACAAGGGGACGGUGAGACGACCACGAUUCCAAAGGGGGACGAGGAGGGGGGAGAUAUAGGAAGGGGCAGAAGAAUGAGGAAGGAACACUGAGUGGGGGAGGAUGAUGUUUUGGAAAAAAAAGGGGUUUAUGAGUGGAGAAAAAAGAGGUGAAGGGACCUGGAGAAGAAGGGCCGGAAAACUACGGC
rnacentral:rRNA from 1 species